UGGGAGCUCUUCAAAUAGACGACAUCCAAAUUCGAAUCACUUCAACCCCAAAUUCGACUCACAUCCCAUUACCAGGCGGAGCUUCAAAAUGAGUUACACGGUGGGAAAUCCCUCGCAAGGUGAAUUGGACGCACACGAGCUGGCGUUGGAUGACAGAUUUGACGGGCCACCUGGGUCUUUGUUUCGCCCGGGCUGGGUCGGCAGGUCCCUUCCCUUCCCCAUCAUCCUAGUGUGCAGUUUCCCAUCAGCGUCGAGGUCAAUGAAACAUAUGCCAGCUUCAUUUGUAGACUCCCGAUCAGUAGGGGGUUCGACUUCAUCCGGAAAGAGCUUGCGACGAACCGUUGGUGGUGGGAAUACAGCUGGUGAGUUCACCUCUGUGUCAUUCUCAUUAACCUCAUAGCAACUUAGCUCGUCAGCAGAUAUCUUCUCAGUCCGGUCGGAUAGCAAUACAACUGUUACCUCAUGUUCCUUCUUCACAUCGUCCAACCCGUAGAAGCAUGCUAGCUUUGAGAAAUGCGGGUCAUCGCGAUGGUAAUAUGCCCCAGCAAAUGGGAUUUUAUGAAGAAAUGUAACUGGUUAGUUAGAUCAUCUACAUAAUACAAAUACAAACCACACCUAAAAUCCUUCACACGAAGCUGGGAGCUAUUGCUCGUUCUCCGUAGACAGAUCUGGCUGACUAGUCCCGACGCCCGGCUCCUCUCUUGCAAGGGUUGUCCUUAUUAGAAGAAUUGAUAGAGAAACGGGUGCAUGGCCGACAACGGUGGCUAGGGUUGGGUGAUUUCAAAUUUCGGGGAUCACGAUUUCGGAAAUGAGGAAAAUGUCGUGGGGGGGGGAGUGAAAAUGUGAUGGGUAAAUCAGGAAAUUAGCAGCUCAUUUCAGGGUGUUGGUUUCGAGGCAGCAACAAAAACCACCGUCCAUCCAAUAUUUGAAUUUGACCAUUAAAGAAAGGAACAGUGCGGGUCUAUUCAAAAACUCGUGCCUUGCAUCAGCUUAUCAAAUACACCGAAUGGGCAUAAAAACAUGAAAUAAAUGCAAUUAUGAGCAUAUCGGCCAAAGCGAACGGGUCCUAAAUAUUCAAACGGCUGAGGGGUCCAAGGGCCCCCUGCCCCACCGUGGCUCCGCCAAUGUCCCGUGCCACUGAAGAAUGUGGCCAUCUUGAGUGGGAAGGAGGGAGUAUACCACUAAGAGUGGGACGAACAGAGUUUUUAUAUUGGAUGCUGCUAUUUGAUAGGAAUUCCUAUUGGAGUUUUGCUUGGUUAUGCAGUGAAAUACAUGUUGAGAUCAGUUGCAUCUUCGGUUAUGAAACUUUAUGGAGUUUUUUUUUUUUUUUUAUAAUGAUGCUAAAAUAUUCAGGGCACGCAUGACUAUAUUCUAGAUACUUCAAUCUUAAUAUGUACUUAAAUUUUUUUUGUAUUGUUAGGGUGUGUGGAUUGAAUGCUGAUAGUAGUGGCGGAUCAAGGAUUCUAAAAGAGAAGGAGCGAAACAAAAUUUAACAGAAGCUAACGGAUGGGGAAGGGGCGACGUCGGAAGCUAUUGGAAGGGGCGUCUACGAAAAUUUUACGUCCGGAUUCAUGGUAGCAGGUCGUCGGGGAGGGGCGAUUGCCCCCUUCUGCCCCUCCCUGGAUCAGAUAGGCACUUUGCUUCAGACUAUAAUGUUGAUGAUCAUAACUAAGAGAAUUGAUUGGGAUAAACAGGUCUCAAUUUCUCGACGAUGGCUUAACCGAUGAAUAGUCAAUGAUCGACCUAAUGAUCGGUCAAAAAAGUCUGUCUGACCAGCAAGAUUCUCGUCUUCGUCUUCGUACAUAAAAGACCUAGCAUGGUACUCUGUGAGAUCCGCUUAUCUGUUACAUCCCAUUUUCUAGCAUCGCUAUAGUCACUUUUGUAUAAGUUGAGAGAAUACUCACCUCAUUCUUGUUCGGUGCAUUUCCUUAUAUAGUUAAUAGUCAUUUAAAUCAUAAAUUUUGGUCGAAUUUUAGUCGA